rnacentral:rRNA from 1 species
UACGUAGGGUGCAAGCGUUGUCCGGAAUUAUUGGGCGUAAAGAGCUCGUAGGCGGUCUGUUGCGUCGGCUGUGAAAACCCGAGGCUCAACCUCGGGCCUGCAGCCGAUACGGGCAGACUAGAGUUCGGCAGGGGAGACUGGAAUUCCUGGUGAUAGCGGUGAAAUGCGCAGAUAGUCAGGAGGAACACCGGUGGCGAAGGCGGGUCUCUGGGCCGA